rnacentral:rRNA from 1 species
GGGCCCGCACAAGCGGUGGAGCAUGUGGUUUAAUUCGAUGAUACGCGAGGAACCUUACCAGGGUUUAAAUGCAGAACGACAGGGGUGGAAACACCCCCUUCUUCGGACGGACUGCAAGGUGCUGCAUGGUUGUCGUCAGCUCGUGCUGUGAAGUGUCGGGUUAAGUCCCAUAACGAGCGCAACCCCCAUUUCUAGUUGCCAGCGGUUCGGCCGGGGACUCUAGAGAAACUGCCAGCGUAAGCUGUGAGGAAGGUGGGGGAUGACGUCAAAUCAUCACGGCCCUUACAUCCUGGGCCACACACGUGCUACAAUGGUGGGGACAACAGGUUGCCAACCCGCGAGGGU